rnacentral:tRNA from 1 species
GGGGCUGUAGUUUAACUUGGUAGAAUCUCGGCCUCGGGCGCCGAAGGUCUGGGUUCAAAUCCCAGCAGCCCCA